CGGGAACAGUUUGUUUUGAAGAGUGACCUUUUACUUUCAGUUUGAAGGAUGGACAUUUUUCCUUUAGAUUUGAAUGCAUUUAAAGUUUCAGAAGAAUAUGGAUUCAUGCUCAUCAAACCAUUGAAAGUUCUACCAGAUUAUUUCAGUGAAUGGAAUACACUGGCUCAAAACAUGGCAGAGCUAGUACAACAGAAAACUCUGAGGGGUGCAGUUGACAAGAUGGCCUUGUUUGACCAUCAUAGACUCCAAGGGUACCGUGAACUCAGGUUGGCUCACCUCCAGCUGUCCAUCAUUGCCUCGGGUUAUAUCUGGCAGGAAGGGGAUAGUGGGGCAGCAAAGGUGCUGCCAGCCUGUCUAGCGGUUCCCUGGCACGGGGUGUCCAUGUUACUGGGGAUACAGCCAGUGUUGUGUCACCCAAGUCUUGUGCUCGCCAACUGGACUGUGGAUGAUCAAGGUGUGCUACAAAGUCUCUACAAUCUGCCGGGUGGUGAUCAUGCAGAGUGGUUUGUAACCGUCACAGCACAAGUUGAGUUGGCUUUUGCGAAGGGUUUGAAGGCCCUGAUGCAAGCGCUUACACAUGCUCAAAAUAGAAAUGUUGAUGCCCUGGUAAUUGAUUUGCAAAACAUCAAACACACUGUUCAGGAAAUGAAAAAGGCAUUCAGCAAAAUGCAUGAAAAGCUGUCAGCUGAGACCUUUUACGAUGUGCUGCGGCCAUUUCUAAGUGGCUGGGGCGGAGAUGGGUCCCCACUCCCUGACGGUGUUGUGUACACUGGGAUUAGUGAUGAACCAUUACAGAUGACAGGUGGAAGUGCAGCUCAAAGCUCCACCCUACAGUGCAUUGAUGCUGUUCUGAGGGUCAGACAUGGUCCUGAAAUUCGCAGUUUCUUAGAGAACAUGAGGAACUAUAUGCCACCUGCUCAUAAAGAGUUCAUAGAAACAAUAGAGGAGCAUUCCCAGGUCAAACUAGCAGUUGCCGAGAGUCAUGAUCAACAACUGACAGCAGCGUACAACGAGUGUCUGGAGUCUGUUGUUGACUUCAGGAGUUACCAUGUGCAGAUUGUAACCAAAUACAUUGUGCUAAUGGCGAACAGGGAAACGAGGAACAAAGACUAUGAGGCACUGGCUACGCGCGGAACUGGCGGAUCAAACAUUGUACCAAUUUGGCUCUAAUUUCUGAAUUAGUCUGCUUGUCAGUGGAUAUGAAAAAGUUGUCUAACAAAAUUCAGACAAUUCUUGCUGAACUAAGUAAGUUUAAGAGAACACAAGAGGUCAGCAUUAAUUUCAUGGAGGAAUCAUAUAGGGAAAAACUGCAAGAGAUAAGAGAGCUGCGUAAGAAAUUAAAUGCUGAUUUGGAUGGGCUGGAAAAUACAACUUUGAAAGAACUUGAUGAAAUAAGGACCACAUUGCAUACCUCUCUCAAGAAAGAUGUCGUCAACUGCAGUCGACUGAAGGAUGAACUAAAACAUCUCAGUGAAGCUGUGCAGGAUCUUUGUGAUAAAAGCAAGGAAGACAUUGAGUUCAUAGCCAGCAGGAAAUGCUUGGACAAGAUUCACGAGUGUGAGUCAUAUCUGAAGGAGAACUCAAUCAAGGUCCAGAGUCCAAUGAUAUUUCAGGCAAACAUUGAUAUUCAGCAGUACCUUUCUACACAGACUAGUCUUGGGAGGAUUGUAGACAGUGAGCAGUCUCUCACACUUAAGAUAAAUCCAGACGAGGUGUUGACUGUGAAGAGAAACCUUGUGCAUGCUGGAGAGUAACGGAAUGAAUUAGUCGUAUAUUACCAUUCCUGAAGAGCCUGCGUAGUACUACAUCUGAAACCCGCAUAAACGACAAUAAAUAUUCUGAACACAAGAGCUGAGAACGCCGCUUGAUGUAUGUGUCUCAUUAAAACCAGUUCAAUCGACAAUACUUAAAGUAAUGAAUAUUAACUAUAAUUGUUUUGACUGUAUUGUUUUUGACAGCUGUUCUUCAGGGAUAUUUGACAUACCGAUAUUUAAAAUGUGCAGGUUUUAUAGUAUAUAAAUAGUAUUUACAUGACAAUCUACUUAACAAAAUAUCUCUGUUGAACUGAAGACCAAGAAAUCGUCGAAGUUGUGAUUAUGUAUUUACCUGUAAAUGCAAAUUUAUAAUUUGAUUCGGUUGUCGGAAAGUUACUUUUAAGAUUUUAUAUCAUGUAUUAUUGGUGUACAUUUAAUAGCAAUUUUGUGAUAAUAUUUUGUUACAGUUUUACAUGAUAAUAUAUGACUUUUGACUUAUACAUUGCUCUGUAGAUAUUUUAAACAUUUAAAUAUCCUUACACUAUGGAAUGUGAUGAUGUUAUUUUGUUAACUUUUUUUUCAGAUUUUUUUUUUCGUUUACAGCACAAAGUACAGUGAAGCAUGACCAUACCUAUGUAAUUAUACCAAAAUUUUUGUUUCUGCUGUUUUUGUGUCGCCUGACUAUGGUCAGGGGACCUAUAGGUAUUACUUUUUUGGCGUCACACUUUUUGAAAAAGGCUCUAACUUCUGUGUCCCUUCAGAUAUUGCUUUUAUAUUUGGUAUGCAUGUGUAUCUGGACGACACCUUUCCAUGCGCAUACAAUAUUUUACCACUGUGACCUUGACCUUGAGCUUGAGGUCAAUGUUCAGGUUUCGAAAUCUGCGACCGCGAUUCGAAAAAGGCUCAGAACUACUGUGUCCCUUCAAGGCUCUAACUUCUGUGUCCCUUCAGAUAUUGCUUUCAUAUUUGGUAUGCAUGUGUAUCUGGACAACACCUUUCAAUGCGCAUACAAUAUUCUACCCCUGUGACCUUGACCUUGAACUUGAGGUCAAUGUUCAGGUUUUGAAAUCUGCGAUUGCGAUUCGAAAAAGGCUCUUAACUACUGUGUCCCUUCAGAUAUUGCUUUUAUAUUUGAUAUGCAUGUGUAUCAGGACAACACCAUUCCAUGCGCAUACAAUUUUUUACACCUGUGACCUUGACCUUGAACUUCAAGUCAGCAUUCAGGUUGCAAAAUCUGCGACCGCGACUUGAAAAAGGCUCACAACUACUGUGUCCCUUCAAAUAUUGCUUUCAUACUUAGUAUGCAUGUGUAUCUGGACAACACCAUUCCAUGCGCAUACAAUAUUUUACCCCUUGACCUUGAACUUGAGGUCAGCAUUCAGGUGUCAAAAUCUGCAACCGAGAUUCGAAAAAGGCUCAUAACUUCUGUGUCCUUUCAGAUAUUGCUUUCAUAUUUGGUAUGCAUGUGUGUCUGGACAAUAGCUUUCCAUGCGCAUACGAUAUUCUACCCCUGUGACCUUGACCUUGAACUUGAGGUCAAUGUUCAGGUUUUGAAAUAUGCGACCGCGAUUCGAAAAAGGCUCAUAACUACUGUGUCCCUUUAGAUAUUGCUUUCAUAUUUGGUAUGCAUGUGUAUCUGGACAACACCUUUCCAUGUGCAUACAAUUUUUUACCCCUGUGACCUUGACAUUGAAAUUUAGGUCAGCGUUCAGGUUUCAAAUUCUGUGACCGCGAUUUGAAAAAGGCUCUUAACUUCUGUGUCCCUUCAGAUAUUGCUUUCAUAUUUGGUACGCAUGUGUAUCUGGACAAGACCUUUCCAUGCGCAUAAAAGUUUUGACACCUGUGACCUUGACCUUGAACUUAGGGUCCGCGUUUAGAUUUCGAAAUCUGCGACCGUGACCAAAAAAAGGUUCAUAACUACUAUAUCUUGAGCUUUACUUUAAACAUUUUUAACCAGGUUUUUCGAAGGAAAAAACUGAUUAUUAGAUUUGCAAAUGUCGGCGGGCGGGCUGGCGGGCGGAACAAGCUUGUCCGAGCCAUAACUUUGUCGUUCAUUGUGAGAUUUUAAAAUCAUUUGGCACAUUUGUUCACCAUCAUUAGACGGUGUGUCACGCAAAAGAAUUACGUCAAUAUCUCCAAGGUCAAGGUCGCCAAGACUAAACGUAGAUUUAUUUUGAAACAAGGGGGGUAACUAUGAACAAUCAGUUCAGGUUGAGUUGUUUCCCUUUAUCAGACUUUUUUUCAAUUUGAAAACCUGGUUUUGUGACAAUUUUGUCCCUUGUUAAUAAUAAUAAUAAUAAACGAUUUGAUAUUUGUGAA